UACGUAGGUGGCAAGCGUUGUCCGGAUUUACUGGGCGUAAAGGGCGUGCAGGCGGUCUGUUAAGUGCAGGGUGAAAUCCCUGGGCUCAACCUGGGAACUGCUUCCGAGACUGCACGACUAGAGAUCGGUAGAGGGCGGUGGAAUUUCCGGUGUAGCGGUGAAAUGCGUAGAUAUCGGAAGGAACACCAAUGGCGAAGGCAGCCGCCUGGGCCUGAUCUGACACUGAGACACGAAAGCGUGGGGAUCAAACAGG
rnacentral:rRNA from 1 species